rnacentral:piRNA from 1 species
UAAGUGCCCUUUGUAUGCCUGAUGCUGUC